GCUGAAGAACGCAGCGAAAUGCGAUAAGUAAUGUGAAUUGCAGAAUUCAGUGAAUCAUCGAAUCUUUGAACGCACAUUGCGCCCCCUGGUAUUCCGGGGGGCAUGCCUGUUCGAGCGUCAUUUCACCACUCAAGCCUCGCUUGGUAUUGGGCAACGCGGUCCGCCGCGUGCCUCAAAUCGACCGGCUGGGUCUUCUGUCCCCUAAGCGUUGUGGAAACUAUUCGCUAAAGGGUGUUCGGGAGGCUACGCCGUAAAACAACCCCAUUUCUAAGGUUGACCUCGGAUCAGGUAGGGAUACCCGCUGAACUUAAGCAUAUCAAUAAGCGGAGGA
rnacentral:misc_RNA from 1 species